rnacentral:lncRNA from 1 species
CUCAGUGGUUCCGGCGCCUGCCUGGCAAGCUCAAAGUCCGGAGUUUGAUCCCCAGUAGCAAACAAAACAAAACAAAACGAACAAAAAAUCUACUAUCUAUUGAACAAAGCAUUGAACCAGGCACAGUGUUUUGUAUUUUGCAUUUAUUAUCUCGUCUAAUGCUAAUAGCAACUUCCGGCAAGAAAACUGAAUAAACAAAAAUUGGAUAACCAAGUUACCCAGAUGAUGAAUGCACUCACCUAUGGUCUCGUGAUCAGCAGUCAGAGGGAGACAAGGCCAAGACCUGAUUUACAGAUGGCUCUGCACAUUAUGAAGGCACCACCAAAAAGUGGACAGCAGCAGCACUACAGCUCCUUUCCAGGACAUCCCUGAAGGACAAUAGUGAAGGGAAAUCAUCAUGGCUUCUAGUCCGGACCUACUGAGCAAACCCUUCAGCUUUCUGACAUGGACACACACAGGACUCUACACUGAGCUCCAGACCUUCAGCCUUCAACUGGAUCCUCUGACUCUCCAGUUACAGAUGACGCUUUUGCUAUCUUCUACCCUUGACUCCACAGGCAGCCACUAUGAAAAAUGUGAUAGAAAUAAGAGACCCAGAGGAGAUCUGAUAUUCACUAAGCUAUGAAGGAGCAUAUUCCUGAGUCCCACUCAGCAAUCAAGAGACCUGGCUGUCUUGCUCUCCACUUUCUCCAGAAGACACCGCUACAGAGGCUUUUACUUAGGAAGGCCUUCCACCCAGACCUGCACCAAGAACCCUGCUGUCUCAUGGCAGUGCUGUCCUCAUUUUUUGAUUAGCAGCCUCCUUGGCCAUACAUGUCUGCCUAAACAGUAAUCUGACUUUUACUCCCCGACACCCCGCUCCUCCUACCGCACUGGUCACUGUGCUCUAAACGGUGAAUCCUGGCUUGAUACCUGUUUUCUCCUUCCUUUUGUCUAGUAAUUUCUGUAUUUCUAUCAGCCCUAGUCCCC